AUGGGAAAAUCGGUUCCGAGCGACAAUAUUUCUACUGAAGACUCAGUUUUCAGGAACCAGUUGUGUCCUGAGGCGGAGGACGGCCUGUAUCAUGGUGGCGACAGACUAGGACGGAUCUCUCUGAUUAUUUUUUACAUGACAAUUCAACCCAGCAUCGCUCAGGUUCUCCCGCGUGCCCCCGACGUGUCUCGGGUCCCGCAGCCGCGGCGCCCCGGAGGAGGCGGCAGCUGCGCUCCCGGCCGGCUCGGCGGGGCCGCUCCGGCCCCUCCCGCUCCGCUCCGCUCCGCUCCGCUCCGCCGUGCCUCCCGGGGAGGCGGGACGCCGGGGAAGCCGCGGUCCCGGGGCCGGCGCCGCUCUCCCGCCAACCUCUUCCCCGACGACCCCCGCAUCUGGCUACCGCAGUCUCCGCCGCUCCGGCCACAGCUGGCUGCUGCAGCCCCCACCGCGCUGCCGCAUCUGGACCGCCGGGGUUCCCCCUCCACUUCCAUUCGCCCCCUGUCACCCCGGCCACAUCUGGCGACCGCAUCCCCCCCCGCGGGCCGCAUCUGGCGGCGCUGUCCCCUUGUCCCCGCCCCCGGGAACAUCUGGCCGGGCGGGAGCAGGGCCGAGCGCCGCCGCCGAGGCAGAGGAGCCGCCGGAGCCCCCGAUGGUGCCGCGGCGCAGCCGGGGAGGUGCGAGGCGCCGCAGCCCGGCCCCGCUGCUGCUCCUGCUGCUCCUGGCGCAGGGGCCGGGGCCGGGGCGCGCCUGGACCUACCGCGAGGAGCCGGAGCGCAGCGACAGGGAGGUCUGCUCCGAGAGCCACGUGGCCACCACCCGCUACCCCUGCGUGCGGCCCUCGGGCGAGCUCGCCACCUGCCUCAGCUCUGUUUCAGCUGA
rnacentral:lncRNA from 1 species